GAUGAACGCUAGCUACAGGCUUAACACAUGCAAGUCGAGGGGCAGCAUGAACUUAGCUUGCUAAGUUUGAUGGCGACCGGCGCACGGGUGAGUAACACGUAUCCAACCUUCCGUUUACUCAGGGAUAGCCUUUCGAAAGAAAGAUUAAUACCUGAUAGUAUGGUGAGAUUGCAUGAUAACACCAUUAAAGAUUUAUUGGUAAACGAUGGGGAUGCGUUCCAUUAGGUAGUAGGCGGGGUAACGGCCCACCUAGCCUACGAUGGAUAGGGGUUCUGAGAGGAAGGUCCCCCANAUUGGAACUGAGACACGGUCCAAACUCCUACGGGAGCAGCAGUGAGGAAUAUUGGUCAAUGGACGAGAGUCUGAACCAGCCAAGUAGCGUGAAGGAUGAAGGUCCUACGGAUUGUAAACUUCUUUUAUACGGGAAUAAAGUUUCCUACGUGUAGGAUUUUGUAUGUACCGUAUGAAUAAGCAUCGGCUAACUCCGUGCCAGCAGCCGCGGU
rnacentral:rRNA from 1 species